AUUUCUUCCUAUUCUAUUAGGAUUCCUAUUUUGGAUGUAAAAAGACUUCCUACUUUAGUUAGGAUUAAUAUUUUCCUAUUAGGUUUAGGAGAUUAAAACUCUGCAAAUAGCCCCAUAUAUUCUGUGCAUUUUCAGUUUUUGAGUGUUGAUUGAUAAAAUUCUGUUGAGAAUUUCUCUCAAAUACUUGUGUUUUGUGUGUGGAGAGUGUUCUAUUUUUGCUUCACGCUGUGUCAAGGUUCCAUAUGCAUCACACCUAGGCUUGCGUCACACAACUUGAAACAUAUCUCCUGGAAUUUGUAUUGACCAAAAUUUUGAAACAACAUUACAAAUAUAGGUAUUUAUAGACUUAAAAGGUAAUUUUAACAUUUAAGAAUUUGGACUCGAAAAAGUAAAACUUAAAGUAAUCAAAAAAGUAAUUCCAAAAUGGUAAUCCUUAACUAACACUCGAAGUAAAGACUUCUAUAGAAAUUUAGAUCUUUCUAGAAAAUCUGAAAUUGCAAAAAUACCCCCAUGAAUAUUUUAAAUAGACAUAUAAGCAAAAAUCUAAAAGAACUAGAAAGCGCUCUAUAAUUUUCCCAAUAAAUCUAUGUUAAAACAAAAUCAUUAUCCUAAGCGUCUUGAGUGUUUGAAUGUAAAUUUUCUUGAAUUCCUUGGCUUCAUUAGGAAUCUAUAUUUAAGAUCUUGGAUUCCUUAAUGUGUAUUGAUUCAUGAACCAGGAAAGUCACUUAAUGAUGGCUUAUUUGUGGUAUAUGAUGAUAGUGGCCUUAAGAAGAUUACUGAGUAUAUUAGGAUAAAUGAAUACAUAAACACAUAGGCUGACCAUGAUAUGGACAUGUCAAACUAUGGUGAUGAAUGUUGCUCUGCUUGAUAUUGUUGAGAAUUUGGAUGGUGGUGUCAAUGUUGCUAAUGAGACUCUGUUAAAUGGUGAAGGUGUGGAGUGUGAAGGUCAGGGAAUAGGGGUUGACAGGAUAAAUGAGCCAGCUGGAUUUAGGGAUGGUUUUUGGACACAGGGUGGUUGUAUGAAUAAUGAUAUAUUUAUGAUUUCUGGUUUGAGAGCUUAAACAUUGAGGGUGUAGUUGGGAAUGAGGAUGGCAUAUACAGUCUCUUUGUAGAAUGGUCGUAACUGGUGUGAGUUCUAAACAGAUUCAGAGAGAAGGGGAACAAUUAUGAAGGGCAAACAAGUAGUAACUGAGGUAAUAGAUGAGGAUGAUGGAAUUAAAGUGAAUGUUGAAGUUUAAGUAGAGGUUUGUGAGUAUGAUUCAAUCAACACAAAUUAUAGUGAUGAAUCAGAUUUGGAGGAAAUAAAUGAUGAUCUGGAAGAGGAACAGAGUAGAUACAGUUCUGGUAGUGAUGGGAACAAAUGUAUUUCUCAUUUGAUGAUCCAGGGUCAUAUGAGUCUAAUAAUGACACAUCUGGUAAGAAAUAGAUGUUGUAGUGUGGAGAAAAAGUUGGAGAGCAGGAUAUGAUAGCUCAAUGCAAAAUCCCAUAUUUAGCCAUGGAAUAAAAUUUUCUAUUGUAACUGAAUUUAGAGAAGCUAUAGCAAAGUAAUUGGUUGCUUGGGGUGUUAGGGUGGCAUUUAUAAAGAAUGAGUCAGAUAGAUUAAGGGCAAAGUGUUGACGGGGUUUCCCUUUUUUAAUUUUUGCAAGCACGGAAAGUGAAAAUGAUCUUGUCAUUUUGAAUACAUUCAAAGUUGCCUACAGAUGCUAUAAGGUUUUUAAGAAUCCUGGAGCAAGUGCUCAUUUUCUUGCAAAGAUACAUUCAGCUUCAAUGGUACCACGUUAAACAUUGAGAAAAAAUGGCAUGACAUCUCUUUCUUGAACUACGUAAUCUUUACCGUCAGAUCUCAACAGUCCUUUUAACCUUGCUGCUGCUGAAUAAAAGAAUUUAUCACAAACCACAUGCAGAGAUAAAAAAUUUGAAGCGGGGCAUAAUUUGAUAUCCGAAUGUAAUAGAGUGAGUAGUUGUGGGUUGAGCAUGAUUGUGUAUAGACAUAUGCUACUGAGAUAGUGACAUCAAACUAUGAGUCCGUUUGUAAGAUUGAAUUAUGUAGGGAUUGAGGCAAGGAAAGAGGGUAUUUGAUAGGACAAUUAUAUGCUUUGAUAGAUGCAAGAAAGGUUGGGUGAGUGGCUAUAAAUAUAUUAUAGGCAUGAAUGAAUGUUUUUAAAAGGACAUUUGCAAGGGACAAGUAUUUUUUGCAAUGGAAAAAUAUUGAAACAAACACAUUUUUCCUAUAGCAUGGGUUGUGCAUCUCUUUAAAGAUGAAGACAAUCUGAAGUGAUUCUUAGAAUUACUGGUUCUAGAGCCUGGGCUGAGAAAUGGAGCAUGCUUGGCUUGGUAUUAGAUGUGCAAAAGGAUUUGUUGCUAGCAAUCAGGAACUGUUGCCUUAAGCUGAGCAUAGAUAUUGUGAUAGGCAUAUCUAUGCAAAUUAAGAGUACAAAUUAAGAGUACAAGAUAAAGAGGUCGAGAGUUGAAUAAGAGAUUUUGGGAAUGUGCUUGGAGUACAUAUGAAGAAGAGUUUAACAAUAACCUCAAUGGAUGAGGCAUACUACAGUAGCAGUUGCAAAAGUGACAUGAUGGACAACAAUGUUCCAGAAACUUUCGAUUCAUGAAUCAAGGAGGCAAGGGAUAAACCAAUUAUUUCAAUGUUGGAACACCUAAGAAUCUAAGUAAUGAAUAGGGUGGUUGAAAAUAGAAACUUUGCUAGCAAGUGGUAAAUGAAUGGAGUCUAAAGACCACGGAGGAGCAUCAGGAAAAUAUGAAGAAAUCAAGGCAAUGCAGAGUUCAAAUUAAUGGAGAUGAUGGCUAUGAAAUCAACCAUGGGAAAGAUGGCCAAACUAUAUUUUUUCUGUCAAGUUUGCACCUGUAGGGUAUGAAAUCUAGCUGGCAUUUCAUGCCCUUAUGCGAUAUGUACAUUAUUUCAUGAGAAGCAGUUUAAUUUUAAAAUAAUUAAAGGUGUAAAAGUUAUGAAUUUUUAUUUUUUUGGUUCAUGGAGACUGGAAAACGAGAAGUGUAGUUUUUGGAAGUGAAAAAUAAAAAGAAUGUGAUGUAGAAAGGGUGAAAGUGAUGAAAAAUGGAGUGGAGAGGUGAGGGUGUACUGCUUAUUAGGGAUAAAAUGACCAUUUUAGUAUUUUGGAGUAAAUUCAGUCGAACACACUUAAAAUAAAUUUGUUUGUUU
rnacentral:misc_RNA from 1 species